GCCCAGCCCUCUGCAUCAUUCAAAAGAAAACCAGGAGGCAGCAACAACUCUUGAUUCUUGCAGAUAAACAUUCAACAACUGUUAAGAGUUAGAUUGCUCUACCUUCAUUUAAUUCCUUGGUGCUUUACUAUUUGAACCUAGCAUAUUCUUGAAGUGUGAGAGAUUGAUAGAAAAGAUGUAAGCCAUGUAUACUUAAAAACAGGGCACCAACCUCCCGAACAGACAGCUUUGAAGAGAUGAUGAUUUUAGCUCUGUGAAUGGUUAUGUCAGAGGAAUAUAUGCAGAAGAAAAUAGGCACCAAAAUAGGUUUUACCAGAGCAAAGUAAACCUGAACACUUAAAACAAUAAGAAAUAUCUCAUCCUUCUUUCUACUCUGACCUGCCUUGAAAAGAACAAGAAUUUCACACAUGAGCCUGUAGCACAUUACGAAAUCUUAGUAUGUGUUUGAAACUCAAAUGCAAACAAAGUUCAUGCAUUUUAUUUUCCAGUUUUUCCAAGACUCCUAAAUAAAGCAUUUCCCCUGUGUGGGCGAUCCUUGGGUCCCAUGUGGGGUCAGUGUUUGGGUCUCUCUGAGAGGAUCAGGAAGGCUGCUCUUCCAGGAAGGGCUGCAGGGACCCUGGGAACUGGACCAGCCCAGCUCACAAGUAUGAAGAGAAUGUCGGGAGAGGAAGUGGUGGCUAUGAGUCAGCAUGAGUCAUCUCGUUCCAAUGAGAAUGAAGUCUGAGGUGUGCGCCUUUUUUUUUCCUUCUUAGUCGUGUGGACAUCAUUGGGAAUGGAGGGAAAUGAAUGACUGUAUGGUUGCUGCUUUUUAAGUUUCAAACUGACAUUCUAGGCAAGCGGUGCCCGAGCCCCUGUGUGUCUUCAGAUCUUCACAGCACAGUUCCUGAGAAGGUGGAGCCAUCAGCCUCUCCCUGGUCCCCAUGCUCAGCGCGAGGUCGGCGUCCGAGUCACCGUUCCCACGUGAGCAGGACAGCACAGUCUAUCCUGACAGCGAGAACCUCACCUGACCAUGGAACUUUCACCCAUGUUGCCAUUUUCCUGCUCCCUUUCCCUCCUUCAAGGUUCACACUCAUCUCUCCAAGUUAA
ensembl:lncRNA